UGGGGAAUAUUGCACAAUGGACGCAAGCCUGAUGCAGCAACGCCGCGUGCGGGAUGACGGCCUUCGGGCUGUAAACCGCUUUCAUCCAUGACGAAGCGCAAGUGACGGUAGUGGGAGAAGAAGCACCGGCUAACUACGUGCCAGCAGCCGCGGUGAUACGUAGGGUGCGAGCGUUGUCCGGAAUUAUUGGGCGUAAAGAGCUUGUAGGCGGUUGAUCACGUCGGAAGUGAAAUUCCAGGGCUUAACUGCUGGGCUUGCU
rnacentral:rRNA from 1 species